AGCGAACACUGGCGGCAGGCCUAACACAUGCAAGUCGAACGAACUCUUCGGAGUUAGUGGCGGACGGGUGAGUAACACGUGGGAACGUGCCUUUAGGUUCGGAAUAACUCAGGGAAACUUGUGCUAAUACCGAAUGUGCCCUUCGGGGGAAAGAUUUAUCGCCUUUAGAGCGGCCCGCGUCUGAUUAGCUAGUUGGUGAGGUAAAGGCUCACCAAGGCGACGAUCAGUAGCUGGUCUGAGAGGAUGAUCAGCCACAUUGGGACUGAGACACGGCCCAAACUCCUACGGGAGGCAGCAGUGGGGAAUCUUGCGCAAUGGGCGAAAGCCUGACGCAGCCAUGCCGCGUGAAUGAUGAAGGUCUUAGGAUUGUAAAAUUCUUUCACCGGGGACGAUAAUGACGGUACCCGGAGAAGAAGCCCCGGCUAACUUCGUG
rnacentral:rRNA from 1 species